GAUCCUGGCUUAGGAUGAACGCUAGCUACAGGCUUAACACAUGCAAGUCGAGGGGCAGCAUAAUCGAAGCUUGCUUGAUUGAUGGCGACCGGCGCACGGGUGAGUAACGCGUAUCCAACCUUCCCCAUACUAGAGGAUAGCCCGGCGAAAGUCGGAUUAAUACUCUAUGUUGUAUUUAGAAGACAUCUGAAGAAUACCAAAGGUUUACCGGUAUGGGAUGGGGAUGCGUCUGAUUAGCUUGUUGGCGGGGUAACGGCCCACCAAGGCAACGAUCAGUAGGGGUUCUGAGAGGAAGGUCCCCCACAUUGGUACUGAGACACGGACCAAACUCCUACGGGAGGCAGCAGUGAGGAAUAUUGGUCAAUGGGCGAGAGCCUGAACCAGCCAAAAGUAGCGUGCAGGAUGACGGCCCUAUGGGUUGUAAACUGCUUUUGUACGGGAAUAAAGUGCGGGACGUGUCCCGUUUUGUAUGUACCGUAAGAAUAAGGACCGGCUAAUUCCGUGCCAGCAGCGGC
rnacentral:rRNA from 1 species